rnacentral:lncRNA from 1 species
UGACUCUCUUCAGGGCUCCGUCCUCACACAGCACAGCCUUCCUCUGUUCAACCCCAUCAUGAUUUAGCCCAUCUGAUACUUCUCAACCGACAUCUUUUUGGAGUAAAACAAACUGAUCUCAAGUAGCUGCAGGACAGAAACCUGGCUUUCAGCAGAGGCUCUGGCUGCUGCUCCUUGCUUACCUGGGAAGCUGGAUGAACUGCGUGGGACGGCAUUCUGUGGGGACUGUGUGGAGGCCAUUAAGAAGACAGGCUGCUAGGGAGCAAACAGGCAGCAGCAGGCUAGAAAUGCAUGGCCCUUACAGAUAGCUCCUGCACAGUCACUGAAGCUUUGAAAUCAAUGAGGAUCCAGAGCACUCUGCAGACCGUGGUUCAGCUGAGAUUUUAGGAGGGUUGCUGUCUUUCUGUCCUUUCCUCUAAAAACAUGGGGAGGGGGAAAUGUUUUCACCUUACCCACAGUUCUGGGGAGAUGUGAAGGCCACUCAGGAUCACAGGGUUUGUGCUUUGGCAAGGAAUGGUGCUGGGCUUCCAGAACCCAAGGAGGGAUCCAGAUGCCCUUCAGUGAGAUGAAGCUUGUGCAGAUGUCCUAGAGACAGCAGGAUGCGUGUCUCUCCAGCUGCCAAGUCAUUUUGUCAGUGCCCCUGCCCAGAGAUUUGUCUUAGCCUUUUAAUAUUUCUGCUUAAUGGUUUGUUACCCUUCUUCCUCCCUCCCUCUCUCUGUCUCUUUUUUUUCUCCUCCUUUCCCGGAGCACUUUGAUGUGCUUUCUGAAUAUAGCUACAUGAAGUAAAUAGUAAUACCAGACUGAUAAAUGAGCGAUGUAUUAGACCCUUGUAUUAGCUCAGGCUAGUAAUUUAGCCUGAUGCAGGAGAUGUUUGCAUUCAUUAUAUUCAUGCACCGACAGACAGCAGCUAUCCCAGCAAGCUGACACGUGUGGGCAAUGCCCUUCCCAUAAAGCACCCCUGUGGCAGACCACACAGUCACUUCCUAUUUGUCUAACCUCAGGGCACGCCGGGUGAGCUGGUGUAAGCGAAACCUUUUAAGAGGGAAAGAAUGGGAAAUGAAAUAUUUAUUUUUUGUUUUUACUCGCUGGUGGUGAAAGGAUAUUGAUGUGGUGUAGAUGGAACAUUAAAAUCAGAAUUAUGCUGGGGAAUAAAAAAAAAAAAAAAAAA